rnacentral:lncRNA from 1 species
AGCAGUGAAUCACACACACAGGAUUCCCUUCCCAGUGAGUUCUGAGAUACCACACCUUGGUGUGAGAGAAGAAGGGACCAUCUAUUGACUGCAGCUAAGUGUGUCCACAAUGACACUAUGCCUAACUGCCAGUUAGGCAUAACUGAACUGGACACCAUAUGCACUCCAUGAGUAGUGACAUGGCCCAGGUCUAUCUCUCCAUCCAUUUGGCCUCUAACCAGGUGUCUAAGGAGCAUAGAGUAGAAUAAAUCUCAUGCUUCCCUUGCAGUGGGUAUGCAACCUGUGGACAAAGUCGAGUCCAUCUCUUAAAGGAGUCUAGAACCUAGGUAUCUGCAUUUACUUCUCAUCAUUCCUUCAGGGCUGACCUUUUCCAUUCCUCUUGAAACCAAAAUUUUGUCAUGGUGAAGAAGUCUCUAAAGGGAGAGGCCCAGUGUCCAAUAGAGGUAACAGUCUGUGGAGGGGAAAGAUAGGAAACAUUACAGUUCCCUAAGGCUGACACCUGGGAACUUUCUGCGAGACUCAAUGGCUUCUACAUGCUGAGCAUCCAUUUCUUAAAAUGUAACAAGGGGAAGAAACUGAGGGGUAGAUCCUCAAAAACAUAAUUUGUCCUUCCCACUGGAUCUAAUGAAACUCAGACAUAUAGUCAAUUUGACAUUUCAACCCAACUACCUGAGAGAGAUCACUGAACGGUCCCAGGUUUACUCAUGAAAGAUUAGCAAACAGCAUUAUGGGAUAGGGAAUAAUAGUGCUGGCAAUAGUUAUAAUGACCAUCAACAUCCUGGCUGCCACUUCCACCCUCACACUAUCCCAACUGCUACAGCUACAUCUGAUUUAAAAUGCAGGCAUAGGACAAGAACUUGUUUCUCUAGGUGAGGUAUGGUUGGAGGACUAGAAUUCCAGGCCUUCCUGUGGAGCAGUAGGAAUGGAGAAUGGUGCAGCAUUUGGAGGGGUUGAUACAGCAAUCACACUGUAGGCAGGUACUCAGAGGAACAGGAAGUGAGGACAUGGCAAGCACUGCAGCCUGAGUCCACCAUACUUCUCCUAGUUGGUAAAGGGCUUGUGACUCAAGUCCCAACAGAUGCAUGGAGAAGCAGAGCUUGCUCAGGCCACACACUAUUACUGCAUUAGACAAAUGAGAGAGGUGCCAUUUCUUGCUGCCCUGUGUGUGAGCCUACCAAUAUGCUCCCAGGGAAAGAAUCCACAGUAGGGCCUGUGUCCUGUGAGCUACAAACAUAUGAUAUUCAGAACAGGGGAAUUCAUUAACAUAAAGGUUGUUCUAAUGGUUGUGUGGAGCUAUGGGGAGCUAAAGGGGUGACUCAUCAAUGGGUAUGAAAUCUGUACAGCAGUGACUAACAUGGCUUGAAAUGAGAUACUGGAAAUUCUGCCCAAGCAGGAAUGAAAUGUGAGUCUUCAGGGGAGGUUCUCUGAGCUUUAAGGAUGUGAACUGGUUGGGCAGCAGAUGGAAGACCUAGCUGCUGGAUGUGAAGUUUGUACGGUGUUGCAGCAUGAGGACAAUAAUACAACAUGCUAUGGGG